rnacentral:lncRNA from 1 species
GUAGCAAUACAUAGCAAGAAAAAACUCUAAAGAAGAGGAGAAGAAGAUGAUUAAGGAAAAAAAUCAAGUGUUAAUCACGAUCCAGGCUUCGUUCAGUUUUAGCAGGCUGAAUUUUUAGAGAAAAAAAAAUUAAAUUAAAGAGGGCUGUUCCAGCCUGAUUCUGAGUAGAUACUCAUAAAGGUCAGAUACUUGUGCAGCUAAGAAAGAA